CCUACGGGCGGCUGCAGUGGGGAAUAUUGCACAAUGGGCGCAAGCCUGAUGCAGCCAUGCCGCGUGUGUGAAGAAGGCCUUCGGGUUGUAAAGCACUUUCAGCGGGGAGGAAGGCGGUGAGGUUAAUAACCUCAUCGAUUGACGUUACCCGCAGAAGAAGCACCGGCUAACUCCGUGCCAGCAGCCGCGGUAAUAAGGAGGGUGCAAGCGUUAAUCGGAAUUACUGGGCGUAAAGCGCACGCAGGCGGUCUGUCAAGUCGGAUGUGAAAUCCCCGGGCUCAACCUGGGAACUGCAUUCGAAACUGGCAGGCUAGAGUCUUGUAGAGGGGGGUAGAAUGCCAGGUGUAGCGGUGAAAUGCGUAGAGAUCUGGAGGAAUACCGGUGGCGAAGGCGGCCCCCUGGACAAAGACUAACGCUCAGGUGCGAAAGCGUGGGAAGCAAACAGGAUUAGAUACCCUAGUAGUC
rnacentral:rRNA from 1 species